rnacentral:rRNA from 1 species
UACAGAGGGUGCGAGCGUUAAUCGGAAUUACUGGGCGUAAAGCGUGCGUAGACGGUUAUUUAAGUCGGGUGUGAAAGCCCCGGGCUCAACCUGGGAAUUGCAUUCGAGACUGAAUAGCUAGGGUACGGUAGAGGGAAGUGGAAUUUCCGGUGUAGCGGUGAAAUGCGUAGAUAUCGGGAGGAACACCAGUGGCGAAGGCGACUACCUGGCCUGUUCUUGACGCUGAGGCGCGAAAGCUAGGGGAGCAAACUGGGGAU